UGAUUUUUAAAUGGUUUGAAAUAUUUUUGACUGAGUAUGUGGUAUACCGAGUCUCCGGCGCUGAUUCUGUAAGUGUUCUAAAAAUUCUGAUAAGGCUUUGAAAAUAUGAGUAGCAUAUUUUGAAACUACUAUAGGUAGUACACUGUAUUGAGAACACUGUAGAUAGUGUAUACUGAAAACAGUAGCGAAAUUGAAAACUAUAGUAAGACUGCGAUUCGUGA
rnacentral:lncRNA from 1 species